rnacentral:rRNA from 1 species
GACGAACGCUGGCGGCGUGCUUAACACAUGCAAGUCGAACGGAAAGGCCCUGCUUGCAGGGUACUCGAGUGGCGAACGGGUGAGUAACACGUGGGUGAUCUGCCCUGCACUUCGGGAUAAGCCUGGGAAACUGGGUCUAAUACCGGAUAGGAGCCAUUUUUAGUGUGAUGGUUGGAAAGUUUUUUCGGUGUAGGAUGAGCUCGCGGCCUAUCAGCUUGUUGGUGGGGUAAUGGCCUACCAAGGCGGCGACGGGUAGCCGGCCUGAGAGGGUGGACGGCCACAUUGGGACUGAGAUACGGCCCCGACUCCUACGGGGGGCAACAGUGGGGAAUAUUGCACAAUGGGCGCAAGCCUGAUGCAGCGACGCCGCGUGGGGGAUGACGGCCUUCGGGUUGUAAACUCCUUUCGCUAGGGACGAAGCUUUUUGUGACGGUACCUAGAUAAGAAGCACCGGCUAACUACGUG